GUGCCAGCAGCCGCGGUAAUACGGAGGGCGCAAGCGUUGUUCGGAAUCACUGGGCGUAAAGCGCGUGUAGGCGGCCGGGCAAGUCGGAUGUGAAAUCCCGAGGCUCAACCUCGGAACUGCAUUCGAAACUGCUCGGCUCGAGUCCCGGAGAGGAUGGCGGAAUUCCCGGUGUAGGGGUGAAAUCCGUAGAUAUCGGGAGGAACACCAGUGGCGAAGGCGGCCAUCUGGACGGUGACUGACGCUGAGACGCGAAAGCGUGGGGAGCAAACAGGAUUAGAUACCCUAGUAGUCC
rnacentral:rRNA from 1 species